GAUGAACGCUGGCGGCGUGCUUAACACAUGCAAGUCGAACGAAGCACUUUAUUUGAUUUCCUUCGGGACUGAUUAUUUUGUGACUGAGUGGCGGACGGGUGAGUAACGCGUGGGUAACCUGCCUUGCACAGGGGGAUAACAGUUGGAAACGGCUGCUAAUACCGCAUAAGCGCACAGCAUCGCAUGAUGCGGUGUGAAAAACUCCGGUGGUAUAAGAUGGACCCGCGUUGGAUUAGCUAGUUGGUGAGGUAACGGCCCACCAAGGCAACGAUCCAUAGCCGACCUGAGAGGGUGACCGGCCACAUUGGGACUGAGACACGGCCCAAACUCCUACGGGAGGCAGCAGUGGGGAAUAUUGCACAAUGGGCGAAAGCCUGAUGCAGCGACGCCGCGUGAGCGAAGAAGUAUUUCGGUAUGUAAAGCUCUAUCAGCAGGGAAGAUAAUGACGGUACCUGACUAAGAAGCACCGGCUAAAUACGUGCCAGCCGCCGCUGUAA
rnacentral:rRNA from 1 species